GACGAACGCUGGCGGCGUGCUUAACACAUGCAAGUCGAGCGAUGAAGUUCCUUCGGGAAUGGAUUAGCGGCGGACGGGUGAGUAACACGUGGGUAACCUGCCUCAUAGAGGGGAAUAGCCUUUCGAAAGGAAGAUUAAUACCGCAUAAGAUUGUAGUUUCGCAUGAAGCAGCAAUUAAAGGAGUAACCCGCUAUGAGAUGGACCCGCGUCGCAUUAGCUAGUUGGUGAGGUAACGGCUCACCAAGGCGACGAUGCGUAGCCGACCUGGGAGGGUGAUCGGCCACAUUGGGACUGAGACACGGCCCAGACUCCUACGGGAGGCAGCAGUGGGGAAUAUUGCACAAUGGGGGAAACCCUGAUGCAGCAACGCCGCGUGAGUGAUGACGGUCUUCGGAUUGUAAAGCUCUGUCUUCAGGGACGAUAAUGACGGUACCUGAGGAGGAAGCCACGGCUAACUACGUGCCAGCCGCCGCGGUAA
rnacentral:rRNA from 1 species